rnacentral:rRNA from 1 species
ACUCCUACGGGAGGCAGCAGUGGGGAAUAUUGGACAAUGGGCGCAAGCCUGAUCCAGCCAUGCCGCGUGGGUGAAGAAGGCCUUCGGGUUGUAAAGCCCUUUUGUUGGGAAAGAAAAGCAGUCGGUUAAUACCCGAUUGUUCUGACGGUACCCAAAGAAUAAGCACCGGCUAACUUCGUGCCAGCAGCCGCGGUAAU